rnacentral:misc_RNA from 1 species
UUUCCGUAGGUGAACCUGCGGAAGGAUCAUUACUAAGUGAGGGCCCCUCGGGGUCCAACCUCCCACCCGUGUUUAACGAACCUUGUUGCUUCGGCGGGCCCGCCUCACGGCCGCCGGGGGGCAUCUGCCCCCGGGCCCGCGCCCGCCGAAGCCACCUGUGAACGCUGUCUGAAGUAUGCAGUCUGAGACAAUUAUUAAAUUAAUUAAAACUUUCAACAACGGAUCUCUUGGUUCCG